CCAUCAAUUCUGUAGUUUCGCUUGCUCUGCUCGAGCUCAUCGUUGUAUGUGUGUUUUCUCAGCAUAUCAACGAUUUCAGCUUUGGAAUGGGAGUUCAAGAAAGCGGUUUCGAUAUCGUCCUCCUCAGUUUCAGCACCCUGAGGCUUGAAGUUAGUGAUGGCAUCACGGCCACGGAACCUCUGAGCAGCGAUGUCAUAGGCUUUGGCAGCCUCGUCUUCCUCAUUGAAUGUACCGAGCCAGACACGCUGAUGCUUCUCGUAAAU
rnacentral:misc_RNA from 1 species